rnacentral:lncRNA from 1 species
UUUUUUUUUUUUUUUUUUUUUUUNUUCAGAUUUGAAGUAUUAUAAACUCUACUCCAUGUGUAACAUAGCUUUGAUGAAAUAAAGUAUUCAGGUAACCAGGUAGAUUAGUGAGAUCACUGAGAAUACUAAGUUCGUUGUUAAGAAGGGUUGUUAGUUUGUCAUGUCCCUCUGCAUUAUUUCUCUUGAUUCUUGCCCACAUGCCUCAAAGAUUUGGAGAUGUGGGCAGUUUGGCAGGGGACUUUUCUGGCUGGGAAGUGCAUCAGCAGUGCCAGGAAAGAGCCAGUUGUCUCAUGGCCUAGGGAUGGAGGCAGGCAGGCUCUCUAGGCAGGAGCAUUCAGUGUAGAAUGGGAGUGGCUCUGGGUCAAAGGGAAUUCCUCUCAAACCAACAGCACCUUAGGUCGAAAGUUACUUUUAAUGAGCCCUUCUGGUUGGGGUCCAUCUCUCCCAGUGAAAAACAUUCCCACUGAUUGCCUUGGAGAUCACAACCAACUUUGAAUCAAGUUCAUAGCAAUGUACAGCAAAUUUUAUUUAUACUCUCACAGAGAGAGUGGGCCAUCAUGGAGUGGGGACUGGCUCUGUUUAUAGCUGGUUCUUUCCUUAUACCCCAUACAGUAGACAUAUUCAGAGACCUGAAUUCUCCCACCCUAGGCUCACUAAUUUUUUUCUGUCCCAGCCUCCCUGCAUUGUGCAUAAGGGCUGAGUGUAGUUUGACCUCUGUAUGGAGCCACACUGUGAUCCUCUGAUUGAUGUCAUGGGGAGUGUGUUAUAGGGAAGUGCUCUCCAAAAAGCAUGGCUCAUUUGAAUAGAGCAGUGCUCUCCAAGGAGCAUGCCCCUAGUAUCUGUGUGUGUCCUUAUUGUCUGGUCAUAGGCCUCCUGUUUUUGGUCAUGAUGAAUGGCCUGUUCUGGGUACCCAUGUAUGAUUCCCUAGCCUUUCCUACCUAACCAGUUGUUAGGGAGAGAGCUAAGAGAAGGUGGCUGAAGAAGUUUCCAGAGAUCCAGCGUAAACAACUUUUGAUGAGAACUGUGUUGAUUAGUCUGCUCAGACUGCCACAGCAAAAUACCACCAACUGGAUGGCUUUAAAAAAGUAUCAUCUCACAGUUUAGGAAGCUAGAUGUCCAAGACCAAGGUCCCAGCUGCCUCACUUUUUGGCGAGGAUGUUUUCCUGGCUUGCAGACAGCCUCCUUGUCAAUAUAUCCCCAAAUGGCCUUUCCUGGAUGUGCUCAUGGUGUCCCUUCUUAUAAAGACAUUGUUCCUAUCGGAGCAAGACCCGCACAUUACAUCAUUUAACCUUCGUUGCUUCCUUAGAGGCUCCAUUUCCAAAUGUAGCCACACUGACCACUAGGACUUCAACAUAUGCAUUUGGGCGCGGGGGGGGAGGAAGUCCAUUAAUUUCAUAACACUGGGCAUCUCACUGUAAGCUAUAAACCAAGAAGGAGUAGUCAAACGUGUUUCUCAAAUCCAGUUUCUUAGCCACCUGUGUUCAACUCAUCUACCAAAUCCAGGGGUUCUACUCACAUAUUUACUGAAAUAACUUCUAGGAUUUGGACAAAAAUACCAGUUUUAAAUAAGACAAGGUGAUUAAUUUAUAUACCAAAUAUUGAGAAUCAUAACUUUAAAAACUUAAAAAGAGUUGAUACCAGAGGCAAUUGGAAGCUUCCUUCAGAGAGAGUAUUUUAUUGAGCACUUACUAACUUCUGUGUAUAAAUGCAAGUGUUGACAAGGAAGAAUUUUUUUUUCCCUUCUAAGAAUUAAGUUUACAUGAGAUGAAUUAACAGGAGAAAAAAAUUAAUGAUAUCUAUACAAGGGAGAGACCCAGGAAAACUGAAGAACCCCUAAAAAGACAAAAGAGGAUGGGAGGGCCUGGUGUGGCUCAUCAGGUAAGAACCCAACACAGUGUCUGUGAGGAUGCAGAUUUGAUCCCUAUACUUGCUCACUGGGUUAAGGAUCCAGUGUUGCUGCAAACUGUGGUGUAGGUCACACAGAUGCAGCUCAGAUCCCAUGUUACUGUCGUUGUUGAGUAGGCCGGCCACUGCAGCUCUGAUUCUAACCUUAGCCUAGGAACUUCCAUAUGCUACAGGUAUGGCCAUUAAAAAAAGAGAAAAAUUAAAUGAAGAGGCCAUUGGGGGCAGUGGUUUGGGACUUCAAAGGGAAGAAUCACAUUUAUAUGGAAAAACAAAUUUUUGGUAAAUAAUUGUUUGUUGGGCCAUGAAGAGACAAUAGUGGACUUUGGUCCUAAAUCACAUUGAGUUUCACCACCACACCUAGCUCGUACUCUUGGCAAAUACCUCUGGUGUUAGCUUUCAUCUGGAAUAGGACCUUUAUCCAAUGAAGUAGUUAAGACAGAUGUAACGAGAACAAUUUCCUGAGUCAUCUUUUAUGUAUUUAUUUUUGAAAAUUUAUUUUUAUCUAAAUUUUUAAAAAUUGAGGUAUCAUUGACUUACAAUAUGAUAUUAGUUUCAGGUGUAAAACAUAGUGAUUUGAUCAUUUUAUAGAUUACAUACCAUAAAAGUUAUAAUAUCAUUCACUCUAUUCCCUUUGAUGAACAUUACAUCCUAUGAAGUAUUUACUUUAUAACUAGUGGUUUGUACCUCUUAAUCCCUUUCACUGUUAUACCCAUCCCCUAACCUAAUCCCUUUUGGCAACCAACAGUUCAUUCUUUGUACUUCUAUUUUCAUUUGUUUCAAAGUAUUUUUCAAUUUUUUGAUUUCUUUGUUAAUUCAUUUGUUUUUUAGUAGCAUGUGGUUUAGUUUCAAUGUGUUUUGUUUUUUUCCCUCUUUAUUCCUUUAAUUGAUUCCUAAUUUUAUGCUAUCAGUUCACUAAAGAUGCUUGAUAUGGUUUCAAACUUCUAAAUAUAUUGAGACUUGUUUUGUGAUCUAGUAUGUGAUCUAUCCUGGAAAAUGUUCAAUAUUCACUUGAAAAGAAUAUAUAUAGGAGUUACCAUCAUGGAUCAGUGGUAGCAAAUCUGACUAGUAUCCAUGGGAACACAGGUUUAAUCCCUGGACUUGCUCAGUGGGUUAAGGAUCUGGCGUUGCCAUGAGCUCUUGUGUGGGUUGCAAAUGUGGCUCAGAUCUGGCAUUGCCAUGGCUAUGGUAUAGACCAGCAUCUACAGCUUCAAUUCAACCCCUAGCUUGGGAACCUCCAUAUGCUGAAGUUGUGGCCCUAAAAAGACACACACAGAAAAGAAUAUAUAUUGGGGAUGGAAUAUUCUAUAGGUAUCUAUAAAGUUCAUUUGCUCUAAUGUGUCAUUUAAGGCCAACGUUUCCUUAUUGAUUUUUCUGUCUGGAUAAUUUAUCCAUCAGUAUAACAGGGGUAUUAAUGUGUUCUACUAUUAUUACAUUACUGUCAAUUUUCUCACUUUAUAUUUGUUAAUAUUUGCUUUGUAUAUUUAAAUUCUCCUGUGUUAGGUGUUCAUUUUCCUGGUGGCAGUCCCAGGCCUGGGAUGACUAGUGUGGGUCUCAAAGCAAAGGGUUUCUUCCUUAUGGUGGAUAUCCAAGCUUUUCUCCUUCUUAAUGUGUGUGUGUGGUUUUUUUUUUUUUUUUUCCUUUAUAUCCUUAAUUGUAGAAGAGCUGUUUUGCUGGUCUUCAUGUUGGUUUCAGAGUUGUUCUAUAUGUAGCUGUAGUUUUGGUAUAUUUCUGACGAAGUGAACUCAGAUUCUUCCUACUCUACCAUGUUGAGUCUGCCACUCCCAAAUCUUCUAUUGAUUAAAAAUAAUCAGCCUAAAUCAUUCUUUAUGCCAAGGAGACACAUAUUGGGGUAGCAAAUUUUGCUACCCUACAGUUUCA